rnacentral:lncRNA from 1 species
UUUUUUUUUUUUUUUUUUUUUUUUUGUGAUCUAAGGCUUUUUAGAACUCAUCUCUCACUCCCCUUCACUAGAUUAAAUUCUGUAAUCUCAUUUUUCUUUGAGCUGAUCUCAAGCCAAUGGUCUGGGGAUUUUAUAGCCAAGGGAUAAUUUUUGAUAAUGGGCUAUUAAAACACUUGCAGCUCCUACCCUGUCUUUCAAAUUAGCAUGUGCACAGAUUGCCUUUCUGGGGAAAAAGUCUUUCCCUUGGCAAUAAGCAACUGACUAUGUGCCACAAGCAGUAUAAAAGCUUCCAGGAAUGUUUAUACUAAAAACACAGGUAAAUAAGAAAUGAUAAAUAAUAAUAGUAACUGUACAGUGUGAACAGGAACUCUGCCUAGGAUUAUUAUUAUUAUUUUUUACCCUUUGGAGACAAAGUUUUGUUUUCCCUUAUUCAGACAGAUUUAGUGUGUUCUGACAACAGGGUCAUCUAACAGUUUCCUUAAUGAUGGAAGUACAGUGGCUUGAGACAGCUGUGUAAGGUCAUGUAACUUUCAUUGUUGUUUAUAGUGUGCUUGUUAAUAGGUUAAAAUGAAUAACUUGCUGGAUGGAGGUCAGGUAGCACCUGUAUAAAUAAUGAAUUUGCCCUUCCAAAAUAUAUAAUGUAAAAUUAAUCAAUAUAUAUAGCUUGCCAUUUUGUUUUUAUUCAGUUCAACUUCCUUGCCGCUCUGUAGUUUUCAGAGGAGUAAAGUAAAAAUUAUGAGUUCUGAGAAAGCAAAUUUGCUUGCCAUAACUCCAUUUGAGGGUGACUGCGAUUUUGUUAGCAUAAGAUUGAAGCUAAUCUCCUAAAGAGUAUAUCUGAUUCUGUGUCUUAAUCAUUUUUCACAAGAAAAAAAAAUCGGGACAUAUAGGUAUAUGUAGAGUAACAUAAAGCCACCAAUUGUAGAACUGAUGUGAUGUGAAUUGUACUGAGGGUUGGCAUGAAUGCUUUUCUUUUUCACGUGUAACAUUAGGUUCAGACAUAUAUGUGUGCAGUGCAUUGCUGUAAUGUGUGCAGAUGGUAAGAACACAUAUGUCUCAAUACCAUGCUUUAUCGCUCAAUAGCCUGACAGAUGUAUAUGGGUGAAUUCAUUCAUUGCCCUCUCUGUUGAUUAGUAGCACUUUGAAAAUGAUGUCGUAAUUUGGCAAACUAAAUCCUGGUCGGGGAGCAGUACUGAAAGUAUUGAAGAAAUGACACGAUUAUAGUUUGAUCCUUGUACUUAGAACCUUCAUCAAAUAUAAGGUUUUAGGUCUUCUGUAAUGUUAAAAAAA